rnacentral:misc_RNA from 1 species
GAUGAAGAACGCAGCGAAAUGCGAUACGUAAUGUGAAUUGCAGAAUUCAGUGAAUCAUCGAAUCUUUGAACGCAUAUUGCGCUCUCUGGUAUUCCGGAGAGCAUGCUUGUUUGAGUAUCAGUAAACACCUCAACUUCCAUAUCUUUUUUGAAAUGGGAGUUGGACUUGAGUGAUCCCAACGCUUUUCCUCACCGAAAAGUGGCGGGUUACUUGAAAUGCAGGUGCAGCUGGACUUUUCUCUGAGCUAUAAGCAUAUCUAUUUAGUCUGCCUAAAAAACAGAUUAUUACCUUUGCUGCAGCUAACAUAAAGGAGAUUAGUUCUUGUGCUGACUGAUGCAGGAUUCACAAAGACGGCUUCGGCCGACUUUGUAAACUCGAUCUCAAAUCAAGUAAGACUACCCGCUGAACUUAAGCAUAUCAAUAGGCGGAGGGA